rnacentral:rRNA from 1 species
GAUGAACGCUGGCGGUAUGCCUUACACAUGCAAGUCGAACGGAAAUUAGCUUCGGUUAAUUUUAGUGGCGGACGGGUGAGUAACACGUGAGAAUUCGCCUUUAGGAGGGGGAUAACGGAUGGAAACAUUCGCUAAAACCCCAUAUGCCCCUGGGUGAAACAGAGGAGAUAAGUAAUACUGACUCCCCUCUGCCUGAAGAGAAGCUCGCGGCUGAUUAGCUAGUUGGUAGGGUAAAGGCCUACCAAGGCGACGAUCAGUAGCUGGUCUGAGAGGACGAUCAGCCACACUGGAGCUGAGACACGGUCCAGACUCCUACGGGAGGCAGCAGUGAGGAAUUUUCUGCAAUGGGCGAAAGCCUGACAGAGCAAUACCGCGUGAGGGAUGAAGACUUACUGAGUUGUAAACCUCCGUACCUUAAGGAAGAAGAUCUGACGGUACUUAAGGUGGAAAGCAUCGGCUAACUCCGUGCC